CGAACGGUAACGCGGAGAGCUUGCUCUCUGGCGACGAGUGGCGGACGGGUGAGUAAUACUUAGGAAUCUGCCCAGUAGUGGGGGACAACUCGGGGAAACUCGAGCUAAUACCGCAUACGCCCUACGGGGGAAAGCGGGGGAUCUUCGGACCUCGCGCUAUUGGAUGAGCCUAAGUCGGAUUAGCUUGUUGGUGAGGUAAUAGCUCACCAAGGCGACGAUCCGUAGCUGGUCUGAGAGGACGAUCAGCCACACUGGGACUGAGACACGGCCCAGACUCCUACGGGAGGCAGCAGUGGGGAAUAUUGGACAAUGGGCGCAAGCCUGAUCCAGCAAUGCCGCGUGUGUGAAGAAGGCCUGCGGGUUGUAAAGCACUUUCAGUAGAGAAGAAAAGCCUAGGGUUAAUAGCCCUGAGUCUUGACGUAACCUACAGAAGAAGCACCGGCUAACUCCGUGCCAGCAGCCGCGGUAAUACGGAGGGUGCGAGCGUUAAUCGGAAUUACUGGGCGUAAAGCGCGCGUAGGCGGCUCUGUAAGUCGGAUGUGAAAGCCCUGGGCUUAACCUGGGAAUUGCAUUCGAUACUGCAGAGCUAGAGUAUGGUAGAGGGAAGUGGAAUUUCCGGUGUAGCGGUGAAAU
rnacentral:rRNA from 1 species